rnacentral:lncRNA from 1 species
UUGGAUUUGAUGGAAAAGUAUUAGUUUUGAACAUGUCAAUUUGAGUAAUUAGGCAAUUAGUCAUGCUAAGAUACUUUUGCCUAAUUAUAGUUAUAGUGAUUUAUAUAAUUCCUCUUUUAAAUGUUUUAAUUUGUUUUUUUUAUAUUUUUAAGAUAUAUGGCUGGGAAGAAAUUUCUAGUCAAAGUAUGAUGGACUUAGAAAACAUGGUGAAUUCAGAAUUAUCAAUGUUAUUGCACAAAUUACAUGGAGGCCAGUGGCAAAAAAU